rnacentral:ncRNA from 1 species
AGGAAAUCGUUGCGAGGGAGAAGUACAAUGUUUUCGUCCAUCACAGAAAGAGUCUUCACCGGCUGAAAGAGACUUAUGGGCAGACGUUGGAAAUGCACCCUCAAGACCCUUGAGGAACACGAGUACGUAAGUAUGCAAGGGCGGUACCCUCCGUUAUGGGAUGAAGUUGAGAAGGCUGCGAAAUGAGGGCUUUCUAAACAGAGUGGAACCGCGUUUUCAAAACGUCUCUGUC